rnacentral:rRNA from 1 species
AUUCCGGUUGAUCCUGCCGGAGGCCAUUGCUAUCGGAAUCCGAUUUAGCCAUGCUAGUCGCACGGGUUUAGACCCGUGGCGAAYAGCUCAGUAACACGUGGCCAAACUACCCUGUGGACGGGGAUAAUCUCGGGAAACUGAGGCUAAUCCCCGAUAGGGCUUCCAUCCUGGAGUGGAGGAAGUCCAAAAGUCGCGCUGCGGCACCACAGGAUGUGGCUGCGGCCGAUUAGGUAGACGGUGGGGUAACGGCCCACCGUGCCAGUAAUCGGUACGGGUGAUGAGAGUCAGAGCCCGGAGACGGUAUCUGAGACAAGAUUCCGGGCCCUACGGGGCGCAGCAGGCGCGAAACCUUUACACUCCACGAC